UACACUCCUACGGGAGGCAGCAGUGGGGAAUAUUGCACAAUGGGCGCAAGCCUGAUGCAGCCAUGCCGCGUGUAUGAAGAAGGCCUUCGGGUUGUAAAGUACUUUCAGCGGGGAGGAAGGCGAUAAGGUUAAUAACCUUGUCGAUUGACGUUACCCGCAGAAGAAGCACCGGCUAACUCCGUGCCAGCAGCCGCGGUAAUACGGAGGGUGCAAGCGUUAAUCGGAAUUACUGGGCGUAAAGCGCACGCAGGCGGUCUGUCAAGUCGGAUGUGAAAUCCCCGGGCUCAACCUGGGAACUGCAUUCGAAACUGGCAGGCUAGAGUCUUGUAGAGGGGGGUAGAAUUCCAGGUGUAGCGGUGAAAUGCGUAGAGAUCUGGAGGAAUACCGGUGGCGAAGGCGGCCCCCUGGACAAAGACUGACGCUCAGGUGCGAAAGCGUGGGGAGCAAACAGGAUUAGAUACCCCUGUAGUCC
rnacentral:rRNA from 1 species